ACGCUCGACACCUACGGGAGGCAGCAGUUGGGAAUAUUGGACAAUGGAGGGAAACUCUGAUCCAGUGACGCCGCGUGAAGGAAGAAGGUCUUCGGAUUGUAAACUUAUUUUGUCAGGGAAGAAAAAAUGACUGUACCUGAAGAAAAGCACCGGCUAACUACGUGCCAACAGCCGCGGUAAUCUGAGCGGGCUGGCAAGGC
rnacentral:rRNA from 1 species